GACGUAGGGCGCGAGCGUUGUCCGGAAUUAUUGGGCGUAAAGAGCUCGUAGGCGGUGUGUCACGUCGGCCGUGAAAACCUGCAGCUUAACUGUGGGCGUGCGGUCGAUACGGGCAUCACUGGAGUUCGGCAGGGGAGACUGGAAUUCCUGGUGUAGCGGUGAAAUGCGCAGAUAUCAGGAGGAACACCGGUGGCGAAGGCGGAUCUCUGGGCCAUUACUGACGCUGAGGAGCGAAAGCGUGGGGAGCGAACAGG
rnacentral:rRNA from 1 species